UGUCCUACCUGUUCUACCCCUACCUCAUGUCUUCUAUGACGGAAUUGUCCUGCCUCAUGUCUUCUGUGGCAUCGAGUCCCAGGAGCUGUUUGCUUCUCCUGCCACCGAGUAGUGUUGACGUGGAAGGACGCGCGCUGUUUGCUUCUCCUGUUGAGAGUUUUUCUCGAUUGCCCCCCCAGUGUUGUGAUGUAUCUUUCUGGCCAUCUGUCCUGUUGUUCUGUUGCCACGAAGAGAGAGUGAGAUCGGUAGCCUAAAACAGAGACGGUUGUACACGAUAGGGCUGAGCAGCAGACCAGGUGCCGAUAAGAAUACCAUGUGAUAAUCCUGUUGAUGUCGCCAAAUGAUGACAAAAUGAAGGAACUCGAGAAUUCCAGAUUCUGUAUCCGGACAAACAGCUCCAGCAUUCUAUAUUCUGUAUCCGGACAAACAAUACUAUAGAGGGAUUGAAUUUGGGAUUACGUUUUUGCCCUCAAUAGCUAGAUAUAUAUAAAAGACCUCUUCAGUACCAUUCCAAUUCGAGAAGCCUCCAUCAGCGUCAAUACCCACUUUCAGCCAACAUCAACCGUUUUCAUCAAAAUUGACAUCAGGCUUGCUCCGACACUUGGAUUUGGGUGCUGAUCUCGGACAAUAGAGCUACAGCAAGACCAGGUCAAAUAGACGAAUACCUAUUAUAAAAAUGUUUUAGCUCUGUUGUUUUGUCCAUCUUCUUCUAUUCGAGUCUUACUCUAUUAUCUGCUUAGAUGAUGUUAAUUUUGACCUUUUGCACGCUUUGAUGAGUCAUUUUUGUUAGAAGAGACUGGAAUCGUAAAGAGGAUACACUGUAGUGGUACUGUCUUUUUCUCGCUUGGAAGAAGGACCGAAGCAACUAGAUAUUGCGUUCUUGGAAUCGGAAGAGGAGGAGAGAAGACUUUUGAUUGAAGAGAGUACCUUUUCAGUGAUUGACAAAACAGAUAAAAAAAGAACUUCCUUUCUUUGGUUGUCAAUCAGGUGAACUGUGGGAAAUCAGAACAAAAUGCUUGAAGAAAACGUUCAACCUACAUUGGUUCGUGAGAUAAAGGGUUAUCAGGCCGUCUUCAAAGUGAGGGUUCGUGUAUGCAGAAUAUGGAGGCCAAAGAGAUUUAAAAGUGAGAUAUAUGAUGGCCUUCACUACAUCUUAAUUGACGAGGA